GCGUCUUCUUCUGGCAGCGGCCAAUCAGAGCGCCAGAACAGAACCUGUCCACACUGCGGAGAGAGCCCAGCGCCGAGGGGCAGCUGUGGCGGCCUCAGGAAAAACGCGACUGUUAGAUGGACUUCCCACAGACUAGGCGAUCUUAUACCCAAGCCGCAGGGAGGCGAGCUUGAGCAUCCAGGGAAACCAGCAGCAGAAGAGCAACCUGGGGAAGAGAACUGUGUCACACCCUGGUGCAGGGUGCAGCGGCCCCACCCAGAGCUCCAGACCCCUGUGUCCAAUGGCCUGGUGAUUGCCUUUUCCUGAAUAUCCCGCAGGAGAGGGGGCCAAGGGUUGCUACGCACCUGGAGAUGGAGUUCUCGGAUGCAAUGUCCUUUGGAGUCCGGACUGUUGUGAAGCCCCAGGGCUCCCCCUCUGACCUUUGUGCUCCCUGCGGCCUUUGCCAGUGACGCGGGAGAAGUCCAUCCGGGGAGUCCGAGGUGUGGAGGUAACAGAU